AACCAUAGAAACCUGCGGAGUACCUGCGGAAGGAUCAUUACCGAGUUUACAACUCCCAAACCCCUGUGAACAUACCAAUUGUUGCCUCGGCGGAUCAGCCCGCUCCCGGUAAAACGGGACGGCCCGCCAGAGGACCCCUAAACUCUGUUUCUAUAUGUAACUUCUGAGUAAAACCAUAAAUGAAUCAAAACUUUUAACAAUGGAUCU
rnacentral:misc_RNA from 1 species